UCAGAUUUUUCGUCCCUCGCGAAGAAACAUAAACAGUAUUUGUGAAAUUUGGAUUAGAAACUAUUAUUUUAUUAGUUUAUUUUGUUGUGUUUAAGUGUUGUGUAUUUGUACCUACUGGAUAAUAUUUUCCAACAUAUUUAAUUAAGCAAAAAGCAUCUGUUUUACAGGUGUGACUGCUAAGUGGUCGUACUCGCCACUUUAACCAAGCAUUGGUGGGACCUUCAGAGAUCAUAAUGCGAAUUUCUUCAUACCAUGUAAAUCUAUAUACAUGUAUUAAUAAAUGCGUUUGCUUUA